AGCUUACUGGGCCACAACUGACGCUGAGGCACGAAAGCGUGGGGAGCGAACAGGAUUAGAUACCCUGGUAGUCCACGCCGUAAACGAUGAUCACUCGCUGUUGGCGAUACACAGUCAGCGGCUAAGCAAAAGCAUUAAGUGAUCCACCUGGGGAGUACGGCCGCAAGGCUGAAACUCAAAGGAAUUGACGGGGGCCCGCACAAGCGGAGGAACAUGUGGUUUAAUUCGAUGAUACGCGAGGAACCUUACCUGGGCUUAAAUGUUGAGUGCAUGAGGUAGAAAUACUUCUUCCCUUCGGGGCUCUCAGCAAGGUGCUGCAUGGUUGUCGUCAGCUCGUGCCGUGAGGUGUCGGGUUAAGUCCCAUAACGAGCGCAACCCUUAUCGUUAGUUGCCAGCGGGUAAUGCCGGGAACUCUAACGAAACUGCCGGUGUAAACCGAGAGGAAGGUGGGGAUGACGUCAAAUCAGCACGGCCCUUAUGUCCAGGGCCACACACGUGUUACAAUGGCCGGUACAGAGGGCAGCUACCUGGAGACAGGAUGCGAAUCUCCAAAGCCGGUCUCAGUUCGGAUCGGAGUCUGCAACUCGACUCCGUGAAGCUGGAUUCGCUAGUAAUCGCGCAUCAGCCAUGGCGCGGUGAAUACGUUCCCGGGCCUUGUACACACCGCCCGUCAAGCCAUGGAAGUUGGGGGUACCUGAAGUCCGUAACCGCAAGGAGCGGCCUAGGGUAAAACCAGUGACUGGGGCUAAG
rnacentral:rRNA from 1 species